CCUUCUCACCUGAGUGCAACAUAGACUGCCAGACCCGCUGUCUCAUAGACUGCAGGCAGGGACAUUACUACGCAGCCGGCAACUGCUUGGAAUGUCCGACUGGCUUUUAUUGCCCAGGAGGUCGAGCAGCUCCAAGGAAAUGCCCAGUGGGAACAGCCAAUGAACUUACUGCUCAAGCAAACAUCACAGCCUGCCAGGUUUGUCCCAACGGCUACCUCAGCCUGGAGAGUGGGGCUGGGUGCUCUGCCUGUCCGGAUGGCUACUCCU